GCUUUCCUGGCUCAGUUGGUUAGAGCGCCAGUCUCAUAUGUCAUGUGCGUAAUCAUACGGUUACUUAAUCUGGAGGUCAUGAGUUCGACCCUCAUGGAGAGCA